rnacentral:sRNA from 1 species
UACUGUUUGUACCAGUGGUCUUCACCUGC